rnacentral:lncRNA from 1 species
GUUUUCUCAGCAUGGUUUUUAAUGAGGCAAAUGGAUCACUACGUCGAGUUAUCUAGAAGUCAUUACCAAAGGGGGAAUAAUGUACUUCUGUACUAGUUCAGCUGACUUCUGUACUACUACAAGUCGUCAAGCUUUUGUACUAGUUCAGCCGACUUCUGUACUACUACAGGUCGUCGAGACAUAAUGCUGUUUUUAUUAUUUCUUUAAAACGUCUUGUUGUUUUGGUUUUGAACUUCUUGUUGUUUAGAGUGUCGAGCCCUAGGGUAUUUAAAACCUAAAGCUACGCCUCUUUUCUCUUUUAGCGAAGAAGUUGUAUGAACAAGUAUUGUCACACUUUUUCUCUCAAUCUGAAUUCUUGAAUGCGUUCUAGAUUUCCGGGUUUCUAUACACUUUGUGAUUAAGAAACUCUUCACUUGAUCCAAUCCAUACAUCCACCUAAAAAUCUAUCUCCAUCAAACCAUUGUUUUCAUCAUUCGAUCUUCACACAUCAUCACUCAAAGUCAUCGUCCAUCGUCAUCAACAAGAUCACGUCGCAUAUCACCCAUCUUCAGCCUUCAUCGGAGUUCUAUCCUAGGGAGAUCAUAUUAUGUGGUAUCAGAGCCAACUCUGUGCCAAGGCUAAGCGAUUCUAAG